rnacentral:rRNA from 1 species
UGGAGGCAGCAGUGGGGAAUUUUGGACAAUGGGGGCAACCCUGAUCCAGCCAUUCCGCGUGAGUGAAGAAGGCCUUCGGGUUGUAAAGCUCUUUCGGCAGGAACGAAACGGUCGCCCCUAAUACGGGAGGCUAAUGACGGUACCUGAAGAAGAAGCACCGGCUAACUACGUGCCAGCAGCCGCGGUAAUACGUAGGGUGCGAGCGUUAAUCGGAAUUACUGGGCGUAAAGCGUGCGCAGGCGGUUUUGUAAGACAGAUGUGAAAUCCCCGGGCUCAACCUGGGAACUGCGUUUGUGACUGCAAGACUUGAGUGCGGCAGAGGGGGGUGGAAUUCCACGUGUAGCAGUGAAAUGCGUAGAGAUGUGGAGGAACACCGAUGGCGAAGGCAGCCCCCUGGGUCGACACUGACGCUCAUGCACGAAAGCGUGGGUAGCAAACAGGAUUAGAUACCCUUGUAGUCC